rnacentral:lncRNA from 1 species
GAACGGAUUAUGUGAUUAUUCACAAUUGCAUAUGUCUCAUAAUAGAGGCAAAGCAAUUAUUAGCGACUGAAUAUGGCUCCCAAGAGGAGCAGUGCGAUAUUAUAGUGAAUAAUAUAAUAUUAUUAUAGUGAAUAAGAAAAAACACGAAGCUUUUGAUUUCAGUUGGUUAUAAGCUCUAGCUAUCUCUCUCCCAAUUAAGUUUUAUUUGCCACUGGUUUGUUUGUUCUAGAGCAAAGCCACAUUGGGUUAUCUGCUGUGCCCACUGCGUGGAAUCAAACCCCGGAUUUUAGCAUUGUAAACUUACCGCUGGCCCACCGGGGAACUAUUUGACACUUUUAUUAAAUGUCCAGAGUGUUCGAGCAAAUCCUUCACAGACUUCGGCAGUGGUAGUGUUCAUCGUCACGUAGGAGACUCACGUCUUAGGCACCGACUACUAUGAUAGAAUUGUUUUAUCAACACAGAACCCUCGAUCAAAUGUAUAGAACUAAAAACCUCACUUUCAAAGUUCUUAGACUUUCAUAUUGAUAUUGACAUUGAUCCGUCAGUCUUCGUAUGUGCUGAACGGUCAAUCUGAUAAAAAGCUUAUUAAGGACAAAAAUGCUUGUUUUGUGAGGGAAUUCCACGAAUAAAAGCGGGUCUUUUUCCGUCGAGUGAUUGAAAGGAAUAUUUCAAAAAUAGGAGAAUGAGCAGGAAGAAUGUACAAA